rnacentral:misc_RNA from 1 species
ACUCUCUCUCGAACUCCCGCUAAAGGACAAGAAUAUUCGAAAAAGAACGUAAAGACAUAAACGAUUCUAUAUGCAUAUACAAAGCGUCUAAUUUGCGUGUUAUUUUCUGAUCUCUAUUACUAUCCGGCUCUUUUCACUCUCUUUAUUUCUGAUCUCUUAUUGGUUACCCGAACUCUCCAUUUUACCCGAAAUUAUAUCUUUCUCGACCUUAUUAUUCCCGACCUCUUUAAUUGGAUCCGAACUCUCUGAGCCGAACUCAUUGUAUUGAACUACCUCACUUCCAUUAUUUCCGGUCUCCCUAAUCAAAUUUGGACUCUCUGUCAACAUCCGCGUAUUUACUCUUCCUAUGCGAAUUC